CACGUAGGUGGCAAGCGUUGUCCGGAAUUAUUGGGCGAAAAGCGCGCGCAGGCGGUCCUUUAAGUCUGAUGUGAAAUCCCACGGCUCAACCGUGGAAGGUCAUUGGAAACUGGGGGACUUGAGUACAGAAGAGGAAAGCGGAAUUCCAAGUGUAGCGGUGAAAUGCGUAGAGAUUUGGAGGAACACCAGUGGCGAAGGCGGCUUUCUGGUCUGUAACUGACGCUGAGGCGCGAAAGCGUGGGGAGCAAACAGG
rnacentral:rRNA from 1 species